rnacentral:rRNA from 1 species
AUCAGGGCGAGCCUGAUCCAGCCAUGCCGCGUGUGUGAAGAAGGCCUUUUGGUUGUAAAGCACUUUAAGCGAGGAGGAGGCUACUUGGAUUAAUACUCUAGGAUAGUGGACGUUACUCGCAGAAUAAGCACCGGCUAACUCUGUGCCAGCAGCCGCGGUAAUAC